UACGGAGGGAGCUAGCGUUGUUCGGAAUUACUGGGCGUAAAGCGCGCGUAGGCGGUCUAUAAAGUUGGGGGUGAAAAUCCCGGGAGCUCAACUCCGGAACUGCCUCCAAAACUGCUAGACUCGAGUUCGGAAGAGGUAAGUAGAAUUCCCAGUGUAGAGGUGAAAUUCGUAGAUAUUGGGAAGAAUACCAGUGGCGGAAGGCGGCUUACCUGGUCCGAUACUGACGCUGAGGUGCGAAAGCGUGGGGAGCAAACAGGAUUAGAUACCCGGGUGUAGUCC
rnacentral:rRNA from 1 species